rnacentral:rRNA from 1 species
CCCUUAGAUGUUCUGGGCCGCACGCGCGCUACACUGAACAGUUCAACAAGUCUUAACCUUGCCCGAUAGGUCUGGGUAAUCUUUGAACGCUGUUCGUGAUUGGGAUAGACCUUUGCAAUUAUGGGUCUUCAACGAGGAAUUCCUAGUAAACGCAAGUCAUCAGCUUGCAUUGAUUACGUCCCUGCCCUUUGUACACACCGCCCGUCGCACCUACCGAUUGAAUGGUCCGGUGAAAUCUCGGGACGGCGGCUUGGUCGCUUGCGUCCGACUGCUGAAACUUGAUUAAACCAUAUCAUUUAGAGGAAGGUGAANUCGUANCA